AGUGUACGACUGCAAUGAAAAUAGUUAAAUCCUGCUUAUUAAUUGAAUGUAUGCACUUAAAUAUACUUAUGUACUAUGUAAUUCGUCUUAUAGAUGGAUGGUUUAAAAUCAUGAAAAUUUUAAUUGCUUCUACAUUGACUGAGGGACUGAAGAAGGAUGUCAAAUCUAAAGAAUCUAAUCAUGUCUUUGACAAGACGGCAGGUUGUUCUAUAUGGGAUCCCACCGACAAUACCUCCGGUUAGUGGUUUUGUCCGAGGAAGAAAAGAAGUCAGUUCUGCACGGGUGCCAUGACCACCCUGGAACUGGAAACCAUGGAGGUUUGAGGGCGACCAGAGACAGGGUUGUUUCUGGAUACUACUGGCCAACAUGAAAUACUGAUACCAUGUUCCAUGGCUAUGGAGCUUUCCUCAACAAUCGUCCACAAACCACUGUGGAGUUAUGAUGAUCAUGGCAAAUGCUGUUUUUGCAUGGCCAGCACUUUGCCUUCUGGACACCAGAGGCUGUCGACCUGAGCCAGGGUGGACUUGAGCCUCUUCUUCGGCUGCCUCGCAGAAAGAUCAGCAGCAAGACACUUUCGGUCAUUGAGUAAUGGCAAAAAUCCGGCUUCAUCAACAGUGUCAUUCCAAUUGAUGGUAUUUGACUGGGUCACAGGAUCAGCCCAGAACUGUACAGGAUCUCCACCUGGCUGUGCAGUGGACACAUGAAAAUCCAGGCAUCUUUAGUGGAGAACUGAAGAUACCCACUUUCCAUGCCAUGUCAACCAAUGAGCAGAAAGAGGCAGUGAGAUGUCUGCUGGAGGCGAAUGACAGUGGCGAUAACGAUGAUAUCAUCAGUGCCAGGCAUUCUUUCAUGUUUGUGUUUAACUGCAUGGAGGAUAUGAGAGUGUUUUUGCGUGAAUGUUGGGAUAACAGAGGCCUGAAGGUGAAUGCGGAAUGUGUUCAAGCCGAUAGUAAGUAGGUGCAUGUUGUCUGUUUCAUCUGUUGAAUUCUGUUCAGUCAAAAUGU